UACAUGAUUACCUCAGUAGCGGCGAGUGCAGAGGUAUAAGCCCAAGAUGUUAAUCUGUGUUAAAGACAUAGAAUUGUAAUCUAUGGAAUCAAUCAGAAAGCGGAAGCCUGCCAUAAGUCCCUUGGAACAGGGUGCCAAAGAGGGUGAAAGCCCCGUCUUCGGGUAGGAAGAAGCAAUAUGAAAGAUUUCUAAGAGUCAGU
rnacentral:rRNA from 1 species